CAAGGAAUUUUCCGCAAUGGGCACAAGCCUGACGGAGCAACGCCGCGUGCGGGAUGACGCGUUUCGGCGUGUAAACCGCUGUUCGGGGGGACGAAGCACUGACGGUACCCCCGGAGGAAGGCCCGGCUAACUACGUGCCAGCAGCCGCGGUAAUACGUAGGGGUCGAGCGUUGUCCGGAGUUACUGGGCGUAAAGCGUGUGCAGGCGGCUCAUUGCGCCCGGCGUGAAAGCCCCCGGCUCAACCGGGGAGAGUCGUCGGGGACGGGUGAGCUUGAGGGUAUCAGGGGCUGGUGGAAUUCCCGGUGUAGUGGUGAAAUGCGUAGAUAUCGGGAGGAACACCCGUGGCGAAGGCGGCCAGCUGGGAUACACCUGACGCUGAGACACGAAGGCGUGGGGAGCGAACGG
rnacentral:rRNA from 1 species